GGACUGCUAGCUCAGUCGGUAGAGCAUCUGACUCUUAAUCAGGGGGUCCGGAGUUCGAGCCUCCGGCAGUCCACCA
rnacentral:tRNA from 1 species